UUUUGGGGGUCUCAACCCCUUCAGAGCCGUAGCUAACGCGUUAAGUAUCCCGCCUGGGGAGUACGAUCGCAAGGUUGAAACUCAAAGGAAUUGACGGGUUCCCGCACAAGCGGUGGAGCAUGUGCUUUAAUUCGAGGCAACGCGAAGAACCUUACCUGGGCUUGACAUGGGAGCUCUCCCUUCGGGGGGGGUCAGCUAUGUGAAAGCAUGGUUAGUCCACACAGGUGUUGCAUGGCUGUCGUCAGCUCGUGUCGUGAGAUGUUCGGUUAAGUCCGGCAACGAGCGCAACCCUCGCUGUCAGUUACCAACGGAUAAUGCCGGGGACUCUGACAGGACUGCCGGUGAUAAACCGGAGGAAGGCGGGGAUGACGUCAAGUCAUUAUGACCCUUACGCCCAGGGCUAGACACGUGCUACAAUGGUCGGUACAAUGAGCAGCGAGACCGCGAGGUGGAGCAAAUCUCAAAAAGCCGGCCCUAGUACGGAUUGCAGUCUGCAACUCGACUGCAUGAAGCUGGAAUCGCUAGUAAUCGCGUAUCAGCAUGACGCGGUGAAUACGUUCCCGGGAAUUGUACACACCGCCCGUCAAACCAUGGGAAUCGGUAGCACUCGAAGUCGCUGACCCAACUUUAUUGAGGGAGGCGCCGAAAGUGAGAUUGGUGACUGGGGUUAAGUCGUAACAAGGUAGCCG
rnacentral:rRNA from 1 species